AUUGAACGCUGGCGGCAGGCCUAACACAUGCAAGUCGAGCGGCAGCGGGAAAGUAGCUUGCUACUUUUGCCGGCGAGCGGCGGACGGGUGAGUAAUGCCUGGGAAAUUGCCCAGUCGAGGGGGAUAACAGUUGGAAACGACUGCUAAUACCGCAUACGCCCUACGGGGGAAAGCAGGGGACCUUCGGGCCUUGCGCGAUUGGAUAUGCCCAGGUGGGAUUAGCUAGUUGGUGAGGUAAUGGCUCACCAAGGCGACGAUCCCUAGCUGGUCUGAGAGGAUGAUCAGCCACACUGGAACUGAGACACGGUCCAGACUCCUACGGGAGGCAGCAGUGGGGAAUAUUGCACAAUGGGGGAAACCCUGAUGCAGCCAUGCCGCGUGUGUGAAGAAGGCCUUCGGGUUGUAAAGCACUUUCAGCGAGGAGGAAAGGUUGGUAGCUAAUAACUGUCAGCUGUGACGUUACUCGCAGAAGAAGCACCGGCUAACUCCGUGCCAGCAGCCGCGGUAAAAC
rnacentral:rRNA from 1 species